rnacentral:SRP_RNA from 2 species
GCUGGGUGUGGUGGUGUGCACCUGUAAUCCCAGCUACUUGGGAGGCUGAGGCAGGAGAAUUGUUUGAACCUGGGAGGCAGAGGUUGCAGUGAGCCGAGAUCGUGCCACUGCACUCUAGCCUGGGUGACAGAGUGAGACUCUGUCUCAA